UUACAGGUGACAUGUAUAUUAGUAUUAGAUGCAGAGCCCCCUCAGAUUUACAUAUUAAGUGUAAAUAAAUAGAAUAAUAAAAAAUGUUACCAGAAAAGUCAGAGAAAUGGUCUGUAGUACGCAUAAUAAAAAGUAUAUACAUGUUUCCAGCAUAUGUUUGCGAGGCUGUGACAGUUUAGAGUGACAUUGUAGGGUCCAGGGGGAGAGGAGAAGAGAAGGCCCUUCAGAAGCCUGAUGGCCUGUCUGAAGAGGUCCUGGCUGGCCUCUGAGAUGCGCUGUGCAGAUGCCAGAGAGAAAAAUGUCCACGGUGCAUCAAUAGAUGUUGCCGCUGAGACACUACAACCACGAAAGGAGAUUUUUAUUCGUUUAUUUUCACAGUUAUGCAGUAGAACCAGCCGUUGUAUCAGAUAACUGAGCAAUUCCUCUGUCAUGUGACAGAUGAAGUCACUGGGCUGCAACCUCAGUACAGCUCGUGAGUAUUUUUUACUUAAAUCAAAGCUUGAUCCACACUGGUGAAGCAUCAUUAGAGGGUUGACUGCAUUGUUCUGCGCUCCAGAGCCCGCUUGCUUUGAUGUACACAGGAGCCGAGGUGAGAGAUCGAAGAAAACAGCAGAACAACCCUGGAUCGGAGGUGUCAAAUUGCAGCAGCGCAUUUCUGACGGAGGGGGUAUGGGAGCAGUAGGGGGACGGGGUGAAUAAUCUUCCUUCAGAGCUGCCAGUCAGCCCUCGUGGCCGGAGAUCCUCCGCGGAUCAUAUCUGGAGAAAUCAAUGGCGUGGAGUCAGCAGCCACGGCGGCAGCAUAAUGAGGGGAUCAGACAUUUGUGUUGAGUGCUAUCGGCAUGGUGAAGAUGCGAUGUUACCUGAACCUGAAGUCUCUGUACAUGCCCUACCAGACUUGGGAAGUAGACAGUGUUGCCAUGGAAGCGCCCACUAACAGCGACGUAAGGAGGAUUUCCGUGGGGAAACGGCAGAGAAACAUGAAAGCCCUGGACAACAAAAGUGCAUCUCCCUCAUGCAGUGGGCGAGGAAAGCUGCUCCAGAUGGCCACUCCUUCCCAACGACUGGCGCCACGCUGCCAGCGGAUGAUUAGCCCUCUAAUAUUAUUAAGGGACUAAUGGCAGGGCUUAUGUGCGAAAGCCGUGCAAUUUGCUCAGCCUACAGGGUGGGUGCUGAGGUAAUUGUGUGGAAUCGUUAGCGUUUCCGGUAACGGCCGAUUCGGCUGUAAUGACACUGCGAGUCUUUCCGACUUGGCUGAUUAAAUGCUUAAUGGGUCCCUCUGUGUUUCUACUCUGAUCCCUAAAAGGGUAACCUGGUGAAAUAGCACAUGUUUAAUUUCUACAUUUAAUGGUCAGACUAAGAAAGACAUGCUGAGCAUUAAUAACACUACCUUCAUUAUUGUAUUUACAUAACACAGUAAUUUCUUAAUUGGGCUGAUCGUUAAAGAACACGAAGUGAAUUUACCCAGUGAGAACAGUAGCUGCCACAUUCUGAUACGUCCCCAUUUAUAUGUAGACGAGGCCGGGGUUGGCGUCCAGCCGCCAUGUUGUUUUUUUUGCUCGCUCGUCGCUGUGGUUCGUCCAGUUUUCUCCGC
rnacentral:lncRNA from 1 species